rnacentral:rRNA from 1 species
AGAGUUUGAUCCUGGCUCAGGAUGAACGCUAGCGGCAGGCUUAACACAUGCAAGUCGAGGGGUAUCCUAGCAAUAGGAGAGACCGGCGCACGGGUGCGUAACGCGUAUGCAAUCUACCUUUCACAAAGGGAUAGCCCAGAGAAAUUUGGAUUAAUACCUUAUAGUAUAACGACUUCGCAUGGAGAUGUUAUUAAAGAUUUAUCGGUGAAAGAUGAGCAUGCGUCCCAUUAGCUAGUUGGUAAGGUAACGGCUUACCAAGGCUACGAUGGGUAGGGGUCCUGAGAGGGAGAUCCCCCACACUGGUACUGAGACACGGACCAGACUCCUACGGGAGGCAGCAGUGAGGAAUAUUGGUCAAUGGGCGCAAGCCUGAACCAGCCAUGCCGCGUGCAGGAUGACGGUCCUAUGGAUUGUAAACUGCUUUUGUACAGGAAGAAACACUCCCUCGUGAGGGAGCUUGACGGUACUGUAAGAAUAAGGAUCGGCUAACUCCGUGCCAGCAGCCGCGGUAAUACGGAGGAUCCAAGCGUUAUCCGGAAUCAUUGGGUUUAAAGGGUCCGUA